rnacentral:misc_RNA from 1 species
AAUGAGGAGAGAAGAUCCAGGCAAGAAAGAUCAAGCACUCGCAUUGAUCGUGCUGUUGACACACCUGAUAACCAAAGGGUGCAUGAGAAAAAGCAUAAAGAUAACAUGAGAAAGCAUAAAGAAUUUGAGGGGGGUGAUCACAACUCUUGGGGCCCUUCUAGAAGAAAUCAAGGGGAUCAGAGUGGUCACACUGAUGAGAUGGGGUUGAGGGGUGCGGCUGAGCAUGGAAACGUGGAGAAUGAGAUUACAACACAACACAACUCUACAAAAAGACACAAGGAAGAUGCAUCCUCUGAUGAUGAACAUCAUGAUUCAAGGAGAGGACGAUCAAAGUUGGAGCGUUGGACAAGCCAUAAGGAGAGAGAUUGUAGCAUCGGCAUUAAGCCAUCAACUUCCUUGACUUUUAAAGAAAUAGAUAGGAAUAACAACAUUGGAUCUUCAGAAGCAAACAAACCUGCAGAUGAAAUUCCUAAGAGAACUCAGGCUGUUGAAGAGCAUUCCUUGGCUGAAGAGAAAGACGCUGCUGAUGUUGAGAAUAAGGAAACUGAUGCUAGGCCAUUGGAGGAUCGUCACCUAGACACAGUUGAGAAGUUGAAGAAGCGAAGUGAGCGCUUCAAGCUUCCAAUGCCAAGUGAAAAGGAUGCCUUGGCAAUAAAAAAAAUAGAGAGUGAGGCACUAACUUCUGUCAAAACUGACUCUCCUGUCUACUCAGAGAUCAAAUCAGAAAGACCAGCUCGUAAACGAAGAUGGAUUAGUGGCUAAAAAGUGAAAUCAAUGGAUACGUUAUUAGGUUGAUCUAGUCCACGCAGAAAUCACUACUUGGCCUGAUUCUUUUAUGGCAUCGCCCUGAAGAUCCUGUAAUAUUUGGAUGAUAUGAUAUCUUAGGCUUCCAGGGAUGGCCAUUUACUUCAGCCAUAGUCGUCAUAUAAAUCUUGUAACCAUGUUGCUGCCAUACUUAUUUAAACGUUUUGUACAUACUAAUAGAUGUAACAUUGAACAUGCCACCAUAUGGUGGCACAGAAUUGCAUUUUUGUGUCGAUUCCAAUUAUAUUACACGGACUGCGAUCUGAAGGGACCCAACCAGACCUGGAAAUGUUGCUAAUGGGUUCUGGGAACGAGGUGUCGAGGCCAGAGUUUUCGAAUUCAGAUGGUAUUGAGGUUGAAAGAUAUGUUACGAAGGAGAAGUGAAGCAACAAAACCAAUUUUCAAUAUCUAUGGAAAACUUGCAUCUGGAUAAGUAGUGAAAUUAUACAUUGUGUACUAUGUUUGUGGAUUUAUCAUUUUUUUUUUGGCCUAGUUUUUAUUUGGACAAGUAGAUGGAAAC